rnacentral:lncRNA from 1 species
CCCGAUCGUGAUGGCGCCUCUCGUGAAGACAAGGCCAGCCAACCUAUUUACACAGCCUUUUUCAACAAUAUAUAAACAUGAAUUAAACAGUUUCAAAGAUAAUUUAAUAACAUUAUUUCGCGGAAUAUAACCCAAUUCAGCCCAAACCAGGGUGUCACAAGUCACGAGCAUCUAAAGAAUCUAAACACUAUUACAAGACCAGUAAUAUACAUAAUGGAAUUUAAAAUCAACGGAAGAAAUCUGGUUCCGCGAACGCUGGCGGUCACCUUGCUCAGCUAUGAUAACAAGGUAUCCAAUCAGCAUCAGAACCCACUACUGGAUGAACAAAUACCUGCAUCUACACACCAGGUGCAGGGAGUAAAGUGAGUACUCCAACUCAGUGAGUAAUAAAAGUAAAUAACAACUGAGCGGUAAGAAAUCACGUAAAACAUAUCGUCAUGCUGUAUAGAAGCAGAGAAAAAAACCAGUGAAAACUUGUGAAAAACUUUAGAAAUAUCUUGGCUCAGUUUUAAACCUCUUUUGAAAAUGAUCUUUUCAAUGGUCACCAAACAAUGCUUUCAAAACAUUUUGCGACGCUAUGCACAGAAAUCCGCCCCUCAGGCAAUACCCUUUUCCCUGGUCAGCCACUCGGGUCCCAACACUCAGUGAUCAGAUAGUACCAGAACAGUAGAUAAAUAUCUCAAGAAAACAUCACAAACAACAAUUAAUGAACAAAUGCAUGAAUGCAAUGCAAUGCAAUGCAUAUGACGGUACAUUCCAGUACCCACUGCAGCGCGUAGCCCGAGCCACCCAUAAUCAUUUAUCGUGGACGACGCUCACUGAGGAUGUGUACAGACUCCGGAGGGGCUCCUACAGCCCAAGCGCAAUAUCAAGCCAUCUCUUGGCAUCAAUCAAAUCCUGGUCAGCCAUUGUUACCUGACCUAUUUAUAUCAUACAGUGCCAUUGUUACCACUGUUUCAAAUCACUGCUCCGCCGCGCAGCCCGAGCCACCCAUAAUGUUUCAAGUCACAUCACACAGUGCCAUUGUUACCACUGUUUUAAAUUACUGCUGCGGCGCACAGCCCGAGCCACCCAUAAUCAGUCCAGAAAAACAUCAUAAGCCCCUUGGGCAUUUAUAAAAUAGUAGUUCUCAGCCCGAAAUAACAUUUAAAAAUAUCAUUUGAGUUUUCAAACUUAGAAAUAUGGAUGAGUUUGCAAAAACAGUAUUUAAAACCUUGGACUGAGACCAAAUAAUAUGCAAAAAUAUGCUAAAACAGUAAUAUCAAUCCCCGAAGGAUUUCCACAGGUUGUCACAAGGCCCCAAACAUGGCAACAAGCCCAAUAAACAUCAAUAAAGUAUGUGUAUCAAUCGCCAAUAUAGUAUAAAUAUCACUUGGGAUGGACCAAGUCACGAUCCCCAAUAGUAAACGACUCCACACUCGUCAUAGAAUGCGUGUCACACCUCAAUAUAGCGUUACGAUGUGUAAUCCGGGAUUUCAAACCCUCAGGAUAUCAUUUACAAGCAUUACUCACCUCUAGUCGGCCAAAUACUACUUCGCGAUGCCCUUUCCUCUCGUAUCGACCUCCUCACGCAUCGAAUCUGGCCAAAACCACAAUGAAUACAUUACAAUAGGCUAAGGGAAUAUAACCCAAUCGAAAAGACUUGAAAAAUAUCAAAAAUCACGAAAUUGGCAAAACCCGAGCCCCGGGCCCAUGUCUCGAAACUUAGAAAUUUUUAUACCAAAAUGUUCUUCGUCCUCUCACGAGUCCGUACAUAUAAAGAACACCAAAAUUGGAGCUCGUUUGACCCUUCAAAUCGACCCUAAAAAAUCUCAAAACCACAAGCCCUAAAACCCCACUUUUCUACUGAUUUUCAUAUUCUAAUUCACAUAUAAUCUUGCAUUUAACUUGGAAGUAAGUAGAAACAACUCACCUUUGAUGCUCGAUGAAAUCCCCCUUGAAAUUCUCUGCAAAAUCAUCCAAGCCAAAUGAAAGAAAUAAGCCAAAUCCGUGUUUAAAGAAUCUGCCCGUGCUUCGUCGACUUGUACCUUGCACUUGUGCUAUACAUGUUGUACAUCCUAUUAAAAAUUUUCCUUGUCGGACACCUUCUAUUUAAACACCCAUAACGUCUUUUUAUAAAUAUCCAAAUGACAAACAGUUUUAUUAUUUAGAAACUAGACUUAAAGAUCUUUAAUAUGAUAGGUUGUACACCAUAUAACUCUUUAUAUAUCCCGAGAUAUGAGCUUCUAAAGUCGGUUCCAUGAAAUCAGAAAAUUCUGGAGAAAGAGCUCCACCAGUCAUCUUCAAUCGACCAUAACUUUCUCUAAAUAUGUCCAAAUUACGAUUUCUUUAGCUUUCUGGAAACUAGACACGAAGGGAUACAACUUUCGUUUUUGAAUCAUCUCAAAAUUCCUUGUAUAUCAAAAGAUAUAAGCCUCCGAAGUAUGCCUCACGAUUGCUGUCCAAAGACCUUCUACAGAAAAUUGCAGCAGAAGUUUCUGCAUUUUUUCGUUUCUUUUUUGUCCGAAUUUCAUUCCGGUAACCUUCCGAAAUCCACCUGAGGCCCUCGGGACCUUAACCAAUUAUAUCAACAUGUUCCACAAUAUCAUUCAAACUUGUCCCAACCUUCGGAACACCCAAAAUAAUAUCAAAACAUCAAAUCAUCAUCAGAUUCAAGCCUAUGAAUCUCACGAACUUCCAAUUCCAUUUUUGAUCAAAAACCCAACCAAACCACGUCCGAAUGAUCUCAAAUUUUACUGAAAAGUCCAAAAUGACAUAAUGAAGCUACAACAACUCUCGGAAUUCCAUUCCGACCCUUGAAUCAAAAUCUCACAUAUCAACCGGAAUUCGGCAAAAUACUAACUUUGCCAAUUCAAGCUUAAUUCUACACCGGUCAUCACAAAUAUAUUCCGGACACACUCCUAACUCCUAAGUUCCAAAUCACCUAACGAAGCUAUCUGAACUAUAAAAUUCGCAUUUCGAUCCCUCUAACACAUAAGUCAAUAUCCGAUUGACUUUUCCAACUUAAGCUUCCUUAAAAGAGACUAAGUGUCUCAAAACUUACCAAAAUCAUUUCGGAAUGACUUCAAAUUUUGCACACAAGUCACAUUCGACAUUACAGACUUGCACCAAUUUUCAGAAUCGCAUUCCGACCCCAAUAUCAAAAUUUCCACUUCUGGUCGAAUUUUCUCAAAAACCUUCAAAUUUCUAUAUUCAGCCAAAUGACUUCAAAAUGACCUCCGGACAUCCGAAUUCACUUCCGAUCGCGCUCCCAACUCCAAAAUCACCAUACGGAGCUAUUCCCAGACUCGAAAUCCCAAACGGACAUCUAUAACACUGAAAUGCCUUCCAACCCAAAUUUAUGAAAUUCUUCUAAAAUACUAACUUCCACAAUAUACGCCGAAAUGCUCACGGGUUAUCCAAAACCAAAUCCGGACAUACUCCCAAGUCCAAAAUCAUCAUACGAACAUGCUGGAACUUUCAGAUCUUGAUUCCGAGGUCGUUUACUCAAAAUUCCAAUCUUAGCCAUUUUUUCAACUUAAGGCAACCGCAAAUGAAAAUUUUCUUUCCAAUUUGAUUCCGAAUUUCCCGAAAUUCAACUCUGACCAUACGCACAAGUCAAUAUACUUGAAAUGAAGCUAUUCAUGACUUCCAACUGUUGAACGACGCUCUAGAGAUCAAAACGACCGGUUGGGUCGUUACAAUUGGGUAAUCACUCUUGUCACACCUCCUUUUACACCUCGAGGGUAUGUAGGAGUUUUUUCAAUUAAAGUGACAUUAUUCGAAAUGAGAUUAUUUUAUUUAAUUAUCAGAGUCGCCACUUGGAAUUUUUAUGGUGUCCCAAAUCACCGGUUUAUUUUAAAGAUCCCAAAUCGAGGAAAUUCGACUUUUAUUUUAAAGUCCGCGAACCAAAAAUUCUAGAUAAUGAAUUAUGUUAACCCGGGAGAAAGUGUUUGGUAUUUUCGGGUUCCGUAGUUCAAGCAUAUUCACUUAAACUAUUAAAUUUAUCCUAUUAUCCGAUUUAUUACACGUUUUAACCUAUUAUGCAUUUUUAACUUAUUAAACACUUUUAAUUAUUUUAAAACGUUUUUAGAAAGAUUCAAUGUUAUUUAAAACAUGCCUUGAACCACGCCACAUGAAAUACCCCCGCGGUUCGUUACACGUUCUAUUUAACAUUGUUAAGAAUUGAAAUUGGGUCACAUGAAAUGUAUACCCGAAUUUGGUAAUAAAAAACUCAAUUUAAAGAAUGCGCCUAAAGCAACUAUGAAGGUUCAAAUUAAUAAUAAAGUUUGUGAGGGACAUGAAAAAUUCAAUUGAUGGCACACCUCGAUUUUAAAGGGUUGGUAAUAAUUAUAUGAGGGCCAUUGGUUAUUUACUGAAAAUGGCACACCUCAAGUUUAUUUUCUUCAAAGGAUUUCUUGGUCUAGUCUUAUGAGGGCCAUAGGAGAUUUAAUUAAAUGGCUCUCCUCAAUCUAUUUAUAAAGGGUAGCAUUGCAUUUACUAAGGUGAAUUAAGGAUGUUUGAUUUUUAUCUAAAUUAAAAGCUUGAAUUGGAAUUACUAAUCGCGGAAGGCACUAAACAACAUAAUUGGUAAUUAAAUACUUGAGGGAAUUUCUGGGAUUAAUAUAGGCCUAAACUUGUCAAAUCGGGUGGAAUUUUCACCCUGUAGCCUUUAAAUUUAACGAGCUGGAGUAAAGAAUCCAGCAUGGGUCAAGAUUGACCCCAAAACAAACCAUAAGAACACCAUGAAACAAUUUUGAGUUGGACUUUAACGGGUCAACAGAUAUGGGCCAACGUUGGCCUAAUAACCUUAAACAAAACAAACUUCAACAUGGAGGCCCUCUUAGGCUUAAUUUUCCCUCCCCCUUAACCCACUUUCAGCAAAAAUAAUACAGCAGCUCGAACAUAAAAAAUACACUAGUAUCCAGAUUACAAGCUGAUAUUAACAACAAUGGCAUGGAGAUUUUACACAUACAACCAAUCUUAACCAAAAAUGAAAUGAUUCAGCACUCAUUAAACACAAACUAUCCUUAAAUGAUAUUAAUAUUUAGCAUAAUUUAAUCAAAAACCUUUGUCCACACUAGCAUACAAAGUUAACACACAAUUCGGGUCCUAACACAGUCCAUAAACACCAUGAUCUCCUAGUGUAGCAAGACUAUUACACCUCAUAAUUAGUAAUAAACCAAGUCUAUUCUUCCAACCUACAUUAUGACUAAGUGAUACACAACAUCAGUUCCUACUAUAUAUGUUAAAACAAAUAAGGUAAACUACAAGCCAAAUGAAAGAACAAAAAUGCAUUAAGAAGUAAUAUCCAAGAAUCUCCAAUCUUCAAAUCAAACAAGUCACUCUCACAUUUUCAGAGCUUGAGAUGUGUACCUGAAUACAGUAAAAUAAACAAGAAAAUAGCCUGAAGUUAGGAGAAAACAACAUCAGUAUAUCAGCAACACCAGCACAGCCAACAA